GGAACAGCCUCACGCACAGCGUCGGGCGGGGCGUUCGUUGCCAGGGCCGCGGGAGGGGAGGCGAGGCGGCCGCCGCCAUGCCUGCAGUUGAGUGAGCUGUCCCAGCCUUGUUCUUCUCCAGUCCCUGAGGCCGUUCUCUACAGGUGCUCAACAGUACGAGUGGGUUGAGGUUUCUGUGGCUGCUGUCCUUAGUGCAUCAGAGAACAUUUCAUGUGCUGAUGCAAAGCCAAGAUGACAGAUUUGCUUUCACUGCUGAAUGGUAUGACCCAAAUGCUUCACUCUUUCGGCGUUACGAGCUUCUGUAUUAUCCAAAAGAUGGAUCAGUUGAAAUGUAUGAUGUGAAGAACCAUCGUACCUUUCUAAAGCGCACCAAGUAUGAGAGCUUACACCUUGAGGAUCUGUUUGUGGGCAACAAAAUUACUGUGUUUUCUCGUCAUCUUUCCUUAGUGGACUAUGGGGAUCAAUAUACAGCACGCAAGCUAGGCAGCCGCAAAGAGAGAACGUUGGCUUUGAUUAAACCUGAUGCAACACCCAAGAUUGGAGAACUAGUAGAUAUCAUUAUUAAUGCAGGAUUUACAAUAACCAAGGCCAAAAUGAUGUUGCUUUCAAGAAAAGAAGCAGUUGAUUUCUACAUAGAUCAUCAAUCAAAACCUUUUUAUAAUGAACUUCUCCAGUUUAUAACAAGUGGUCCUGUUGUUGCUAUGGAAAUCUUACGGGAUGAUGCAGUUUGUAAAUGGAAAACAUUACUGGGGCCUGCAAAUUCUGUAGUGGCUCGAACUGAUGAGCCGGACAGCAUUAGAGCAAACUUUGGACAUGAUGGCAUAAGAAAUGCAGCUCAUGGCCCAGAUUCAGUUGCCUCAGCUGCUCGAGAGCUGGAGUUGUUCUUUCCCUCCAGUGGAGGUCGUGGACCAGCCAACAGUGCAAAAUUCACAAACUCUACUUGUUGCAUUAUUAAGCCUCAUGCAGUUAAUGAAGGACUAGCUGGAAAGAUUAUAAAAGCCAUCAUCAAUGAAGGAUUUCAGAUCUCAGCUUUGCAGAUGUGCAACAUGGAGCGUGCAAAUGUGGAAGAAUUUUAUGAGAUUUACAAAGGUGUUGUUGCUGAAUAUAUGGAGAUGGUUACGGAGUUGUGUUCAGGCCCUUGCAUAGCAAUGGAGAUUAUACAGCCUGAGCCUCCAAAAGUGUUCAGAGACUUUUGUGGUCCUUCUGACCCUGAAAUAGCCCGUUGUCUCCGACCUGGAACUCUGCGCGCUGUCUUUGGGAAGAACAAGAUUCAGAAUGCUGUCCACUGCACAGAUCUACCAGAAGAUGGACUUCUGGAGGCACACGUUGUUCAAAUGAUAAUUACUUGUGCUCUGCCAGGGCAUUAGACUGGAUUUCAUUAUCGCCUUCCUUAUUAACUACUGAAACUUUGCGGUGAAGUUUGGAAGCUUCCAGCGGGAGCGGCCGACCCCAUCAGAGUGAGUUGUGCAGUAUGUGUUUGUGAUGGAAGCGAAUCUUCAGGGAACUGAAGCAGCUCUCAGCUCCUCCCGGGUGAAGCAGUUUAUAAGGUGCAGUACUUCUUCAAGAUUCUGGACAGCUGAGAGCCCCCACCCUCAAAGCAGAAGGCAUGGGCACAGAGCAGUGUUCAUUCAUUUAUUUGUCCAAUAUGUCAACCUGACUGAAAUACAAGAUCAACAAGAGCACUGUACUCCUGGCUAGUAUUACAUGUUAGAACAUAGAGUUUUGCACUUCAGACAACAUUUAACACCAUUCUAUGGGGUACUGCAUUGCUUUUAUAAAGUUUAAAAUAAAGAUUUAUUUUCAAACAUGUGACUUUGGUUUAUUUCAUACAAUACACUUCCUUGCAGAAAAAAUAAAAUUGUACAACUGCAUAAAUAUAAAAUUCAUCCACCAUGAAAAUGGUUAAAACAUUCAAUAAAGACAUUAGCACCACAGUGUGCGAUGCCUCCAGAAGGAAAAAAAAAAAA